UCAGCAAAAGAAACUCCAGAACCCAAAGCAAAUUUUCCUGCCCGGUACAAGGAGGACAUAUUUUCACUGACUGUUUCCAUGGAAAUAAAUCGGAGGCAUUACUUUUGGAGCAACUAUGCGGCCCAAGAUAAUUUGUCUUGACUCAGUGUGAUCCAGGCAAGCCAAAAGGUUGCACACCCAUGAAAUAAGCCAAGAAAGUACAUGGACUGCAAGAAAAUUCUUUUUGGUCUACUGACAUCCCUGUUUAAUUAAUAAGUGCUGUCACACAUUCAGCAAGCACGCAUAUCGCUCUUGGUCUUGGUAAGAGCCACUCUCUUUUCCAGUGCUGUGAGUCACUCAGUCUUCACAAGGUUUUGUCCUCUUCACCAGUCACAAAAAAAUAUUUGUUUGGAAUUUGGUAAACUGAAGUGGAAGUGUCCUCGCUGCUGAGAAUUUACACUGGGACCAGAAUGAUGCCUGCUCUUCCCUCACACAAGGAUGCAGAGCCUAUCGAAGGAAGGGAAUUACGAAAUGACAAGGAUAUGUCCGUACAGUGGGCUCUGCUGUUGUCUCUGAUCUCUCAGUGAUGGAACAUCAGGAUUCCCCAAGAUGUGUACAGACAACUAAUGCCACCCGCAUGCUGGAAUUCGAAAGUUUAUUUUAGUUUUGAUUGUAGUUGUUUUUGUUUUUUUCUCUCUAUCUGGAACAGUGGUUUUCUUAUUACCUGCCAGCCUACUAACAGGACAAAUCUCAGUCGCAGACAGCAGGAUUACAAAACUGAAGUUGCCAUUGUGCUUUUAGGAUCAUAUGAGCCACUUGGUGCAGUACACACAGAGCAGCUAAAAUAACAAGGGGUGAUGCCAUCUCUGAGACACAAAGUUAUAACAGAGUAAGCUGACAUUAUAAAGUGGCUGGAGAAGCUGUGUACUUCCUACAGCAGUAGAGGAGCAUGAAGUGGUAUGUGUAACUUUUGAUUGCUUUGGCUUUCUCACUGUGCUUUCCUGCAUGCAUUAUUCAGACACUAUGGCAGUUGAAUACCACAGCAGCCACCAAAAGUGCUGUUGUUUUGAAUUUCAGCAAUCCUCCAUCAUUUUUGAGGAGAGAAACUCCGUCUGCAAGCUGUGAAAGCAAACUGGUCGUGUGAUUGCUGUCUGAAGGAACUCGGAUCACACAGCAAAACAUUUUACAGAGUCAUAAUAUCAAGUCCCAGAAACAAUUAGGAAGUCCCAUCUAUAGGAGACAACCUCAGAGAAGUAUUUUAUACAGUUAAAGUACAGAAGCAAGUGUACACUGGGAAAGAUUGUCAAGCCAGACAUAGUCAAGUGAGAAGUACAGGGUGAUAUCUGCUUAAGCUUUGAAGUUAAUUAAUCACAUAAUGAACUGCUUAGAGAAAUGGUGACCUCCUUACAUCUUGAGGUCUACAAAUCAAAUUAUGAGGCUGAUACUGACUUAUUGAGCAAUGCUAAGACCUCUGGCAUAUCUCUGAUUGGGAAGACUUGGCUAGUACACCCUUCUGGCCAUAAAUAUGGACUGCAUACAGCUCUUUUCAGUCUGAGUUCCCAGCAUCGAUUUGCUUGUGUUUCACAGGCUGACCCCUCAGCCUCUAUGCAUUCCAAAGAUCUUUGGGUCAAGGAGAGGAGGGCAGGCAGCACGCCAGAGCACGAUGCUUCAUGGCAAAGGCUGCACAAUGUGUAUGGCAUUGAUUUCUAGAUGUCAUCUCAUGAAGAAUUUGAUCUUUAAGUUGCACAAAGCGCUUGAAUGCUUUGAGGCAACCAGUAGAGCUGGCAGAGGAAUGCUCUUUUCUGUGGGGCUAUCGUCAAACUUUUGAAACACCAAGAAUUGUUUGAAUUAAAGUGAGGGAAUACUGAGUAUCUUUUACUUGCUCCUGAAAACUCUAUCUGCUCUGGAUAUAUUUUGUGGGAAAAUAAGAUAUUUCUCAUGAAAAUUCAUUCUAAGUCCAUACUAGAAGAACUGUGAGCAUCUUUCAAUUAUCCUAUGAAAGUAGUGAUUUAUUUUAGAAAUAUAGCAAAAUAAGACAUUGCUUUCUCACCAUAUGUGCAUGUGUGUGUAUAAAGGAAGGAAUGCGUAUAUAUUUUAUAUGCAAGUUAUGUAUUCACGUCCAAAACACACGCUCUGUGAGGCUGUGUAGACUUUUUCUGGCUUCCUUUAAGAUUCCCGAGGCUUUAGGAUGUGUUCAGCAGGUGCAAAAACUACUCAGCCGGAGAAACUCAGCUCUAUCACUGUGCACUUUAGAGUAGCUCAGCCUUUUAGUAGCAAUGUUAAAGGCUGUACAGACAGCUACAUUGUAAUUGCUUCUGUUGAGAGUGAGAGAGCAUUAUUUCAUCUGGAAGCUUUUGGUUUAUGGCUACACUCGCACGCACUAAAUCAUCCGUUUGCCUGGUGAUGAGCUACAGCAAGCAGCAGGAGCCUUCAGAUAGCAGGGAGCUCAUGUAAGGUUGUAUUUGGCACCAUCCAAUGGCACGCAGUCCUGUGGGUCUUUAUUCAUUUCAAUUGUGAAUGGCAUGGCAAGAUAAAUUCAGCUUCGUUUGUUCCUGCGAUGGGAAUGGUUUCUCGCCAUGCUGUUACAUACCCUCGUGGAGCCUCACGUGUGUUCAGAAAGGCAACAGAUACUACAGCAGUUUCACAAUUCGCCUUCUGAAAAUGUCCCGUACUCAGAAUGAAAAACACCACCACAAGCAUGGAAAGAACUGGAAACUAAAAUUCCUUUUUUUUUUUUCAUGGCACAACCAUUUGCAUCUGUAUAUUUUGACUGACAAAUGACCGGUCAGUUUGGAUAAAGCCCAGAGAUCAGAACUAAUAAAUGUAUUGGCAAGAACAUCCAUGGAAACUAGUUUAUUUAAGACAGUAUUGAAAAACAUUUGCCAAGUGGGAAUUUUAAAUAUAUCGUCCUCAGAUGCAUGCACUGGGAAAUCUGGAAGCCAUUCAACCACAUAAUGAGCAGAUACAUAUUGUAUCAUUUAAGUGAACAGUCAUAGCAAUGAAACUUUGAUUGCCUGGUAUUCUCAAAGUGGUUACAAAGCGAUCUACUAAGCAGAAGUGAUUCACAAGAACAAAUCUAAGAAAACAGCACCCUGAUCCUAAGGAUGAGAAGAAAAAAAAAAAAAAAGAAAAGAAAAAAAAAAACAGAAAAAGGAAUUGUUGUGAGAAAUGCAGAUGAAUGUUGCUUAAGAGACAGCAACGAAUGCAGCAAAGUCAGAGCAAGCUGCCAGGCUGUGCCUGACGCUCAAAACCUCACAGUCUCAAAGUGGGCCUGGGUCUGCUCUGGAGGGUUCAGGGCAAACCUGAAGAUGGCCAUCACUGGUGGCUGCUUCCUCAGCUGAGCGUGGCUCCUGGCCCUCAGAAAUGGCUGUAGCACCAAGCACAGCCCCAGGGAAAGAUGGACAGGGAGUGAACACAGGCUGCAAAGUGUAGAAAGUGUAAAAUUAUUUCUUGGUGUCUCAGAGACUUCUUGUUCUUUUAUUUUUAUCUUUGUUCCUGCUAGCUCUGACCCUAACUCGCCUUCUUGUCUGGAAAGAAUUAGCAGAGCUUUUUUCCUCCAGCUCUUCUCUACUGCAUAGAAGCAAUUCCGGGCCCUGACAAAAGUCAUGGCUUCAUUUUCUUUAAUUUCUUCCCUGUCUUUUCCUGAAUUAUCUGUAGAUGCUAGUAUCCAAAAAGAUGUGUUCUCAGCAAGGAGUUCUACAGCUCAUCGCACCAUUGAUCCAUACCUGCCAGCUCUCCUCCAAUUUUCGGCUUCUCUUCCCCAGCCUUCUUAGGGAGUCAAAGUGGGCAAAUGGCUGCUGCUCAUCUUGCUGCAACCACAGUCAUCGUACAGACCCAGUGGGGGGAUACAGCAAAUCUGUUCUGAUUAGCGAAGGUAAGCAGGGACUCUGCCGUGCUUGUACCCUACAGUGAGAAGAUCAGCAAGGUCAAGUUAUAUCCGAGAAAUCAACCAACCAUUUUUGGAGUGCCGGCCAAAAUCCUUAUGUGACCUGACAACGACUGGGGAGCAUCAAAACCUCACUGCUUUUCUCUCUGUGUGUGAGGGAUAUUGGUUCAGACCUGCCUUUCCCAAUACAAACAUAGUUCUUUGUGCAUAUUAUAAAAACACACAGAAAGAAGUGCUUUGCUGCCCAUUUGUCCCAUGCUGGGAAGGAACAAAUUGAACAAACAAAUGGCAUAUGUUAGUCACAGUGCUUCAUACACUGCUGGAAUGUGUUCAGAUACUCUGGUGCCUUCUAUUAAGAUCAUGGUAAAUUAAAUAUAAAUGGUUUUUAAGGACUAAACUGUGACAUCUGAAAUGAAGUUUGAAUUACAUGAAGCCAGACAAUGUGAUAUCCAUUAGAAAAAGUGUUUACUAGCCUUCAUGAAGUACACGCGUGUUGUGAAAACACUCAUCUGGCUAAAUUGAAAAUGACUGAAUAAGGUAAUUCUGACUUUUUUUGUAGUGCUAUUCGUAUUAUUUGAGUAGCCAUGACUGUAAAGUUGCUUUUUUUACAGAUACUGUGCAUCCUCCUCUUGCACAAAGGGCAGAUGUAAUCAUUUUAAGUGGCAUCACUGAAGCUGGGCAGACAAAUGACAGCUGAUAGGAUUGAGUGGAAGUGUCAGAUUGGUCAAAAUCUGCAAACAUUUUUGUGAGAAAAAAUGUUCACUAUUUCAAAAUUCUUUUCUUUUUGGAAGCUUUGCACCUAUUUCGCUUUUAAGAUUAAUUUUCCAUUGCUCCUGCUGUCAGUAUUUUCCCUUAAUAUUUUACACAAUGGUUAAAGGGCAUUCUUCAAGGAUAUCGACAGCAUCAUCCAUCCUUUCAUUUCCAAAUUCUCUGACAGGCAUUAUGGCACUUUGCAAAUCCGUCAAUCCUUUUAGGGGGAUUAGGAACAGGACCAGAGUUUUUACAGUCGAUUUCCUCUCAAUUCCCAGUAGUUUAACGGUUGUAAUCCUUUCUCAAACCAGAAGGUGGCAAGCACUCGUAAAGUAUGAGCUGCACCAAGACAAGAACGUCUCCUUUCCGAUAAAUCUCAGCCACCAUUGCCAUCUGCUCAGCGUCCAGCCUUGGGUUUUCCAGCCAGAGAUCUCUGUUUAGCAGCGUCCAGUAAAUCACAGCAGGACAGUGCUAAAAAGGGAAACAUGGAAGGGAUUGAAGCAUUUCUUCCGUUAUCAUUAAAAAAAAAAAAAAAAAAAAAAAAAUCCCUGAGACAAAUGUAGACAAUAAUUGUGCAGAAAAUAAAGCUGACCGGAAAAAUGGAAUUUCCGCUCUGGCAAAGGGAGGGCUCUGCAGGGAUGGGCUCAGUGCCAGGGCUGACAGAAACACGGGGCACCUGGAGUGAGCCCUGCAGCCACUGCCCCAUUCAUAUGGCCAUUCAACUGCAAAACGUGGUGUGACAAUUUGCGUGGAUUUUCCCAGAAGGAAAAUAGGCAUUAACCUUAGUUAUUGGUUUUCAGCAGUGCCUAAGCUGUGCAAUUUUCUGCUCAUCAAUCCAUCCGAGGAAACUGAGUAAUUUAUGUGCACAAAUAACAACAGCCAAUGUAUUCCGGGUGCAUUGGCAGGAAUUUACUUCCUUUCUUUUCAAGAAUUUUAAAUUUCAAUCUGUAGCUUAUCCAUGGGAAGAGAUCCCUCAGGUCAUCCUACACAGGGGGGAAGCUGAAGGGUGAAUUAAUACAACCUCCAAAUCAAUGUCUUACAAGAAAAUAAUAUGCCUUCCACUUUCGAAAUGUUUACAUUGUUAAUUAAUUUUAGCACCUGGGCUAAAGACUUCGUGUCAGCUGGAUCCUUCCUAUGACAUCCUAUGUUUUAUAAUACAAUAUGAAUCAAUUGGUGGGGAGGAAGGUUUUCAAGCAAAACACUACAUUUCUGAGCUUCUUUUUCAGAAGGCCUCAAAGCACCAGGAGGGCAAUGCAGCCCUCACUGCCCACGAGAGCUGACAAGUGCUGAUGACUUGAAGGCUGUGACAAUACAGUCCUGUCUGACAUUAAUCUGGGGCUGGGAGUGAGAGCUGUUCCUGCCUCCUCAUGACCUCCAUUAUUCACCGGCUGAGUGACUGCAGUGCUGACAAUCCAUGCUCAUCCACACCAGCCCACGCCAGGCAGUCAGCAGGAAGGUGAGCUCGACCCCUUGCACUUCUGCAUGCAAGUAUGAGAGAAGUAGAAUGCAAGGACAUGCUGGAGAACGGGGAGCGCAAUGCUCCUGUCCUCACAGUAGGGCAUGGCUUCAGCUCUUAGGGCAUGACUCGGCCAUGUUCCAAGGAAGGAGCUUGUUGGGAGUUUUCUGCUUUGCAGACAUGUUGCAGUAAAGGUGCAGACUGAAUCACAAAUGGCUCUGAGGAAGGACACUGAUCUUGUGUGCAUUCAGUUUAUACUGAGAAUCCACAUAAAACUGAUUUAUCAUAGGAUCAUAGACUAGUUUGUGUUGGGAGGGGCGUUUAAGAUCACCUAGUUCCAACCCCCAUGCUAUAGGCAGGAAUACCUCCCUCUAGACCAGGUUGGUCACAGCCCCAUCCAGCCCAGGGAGGGAACAUUCACAACCUCACUGGACAACCUGUUCCGGGGUCUCACCACCACCACCAUCCCUAAGUUGUUCCAAUGUGCCUAUCCUGUACCUCUAAUAACUGAACCUGCAUCCAGGAUCAUAACCUGCCCUGUCUUGCAGGCACACUUGGAAUCGUAGAAUCAUGAAAGUUCAAAAAGACCACUAAGAUCAUCUAGUCUAAAUGCCAACCCACCACCACCAUGCCCACUAACCGUGUCCCUCAGUACUUCAUGGGAAACAUCCCAGUGCAGAUGGCUUCGUAGUCCUUCAGCUCACAGCUUUACCAUGGGAUUGGCUUUGCUCUGGAAUAGAAUAAUCACAGCAUAUUUCACCUCUUGUCCUCUGGUUACCUCUCCCCAGGCUGCCAGCCUGGCACUGUUUGCACUUGUGACUCUGAGCUCAGUGGUGAAAAGCCCUGUGUUUAUUGAGCCUGUGGGCUAAGGGAGCUCAGAGUGCAAAAUUCUGCUGCUCUCUGCAAACUUCACACCAACCUACUGAGCUGUAACCAAUCCACCCACAGCAGGAGGAACAGAGUAGGGUAACAGCUGAGAUAAUGCCAAGAGAUACACUGAGGUCACAGAGGAAAGCUGUGAUGAGUACAGAGGAAGUAUGAAGCAAAUAGAUUUUAAUUAGAGUAUCAUUCAGCCCUUUGGAUAUUUUCUAGAUGCAAAGACAGAUUUAACAAGGCAGUUCCUUGCCAAUCAUCAUGUGCAUUAAAGAAGAUGGGACAGAAUGAAGAAUGAAAAUCCUAAGGGAAUCCUAAACAGAGAGACAUAAAUAGGAGUUUAAAGGGUGAAUUGCAUCAUUUGCCCUGCUUACAGGUACCUACUCGGGCAGCAAAAUGUUAUUGCCUGCUGAACCCAGCUUCUGCUUAAUUCUGCCAACUGGCAAAAUGUUUAUUAUCCCACGUUUAAUACAUGUCACUGCAGACCCGGACUGCUAAAUGGGUGCCUUCUUCUGGAUUGGACUCAAAGUAAGCACGGACCAAGGUACAAAAAUAAUCAAAACAAGUUGCUAUUGAAUAGGAUUUGCAAGUGAGGAUUCUUGCAAGCAGAAGGCUGAGGCUGAAAAGUGAAAGCUGCAGAGGCUUUCUGACUUUUUAAGAGAAAAACACUGCCUCAUCUUUUCUCCUGAUACACACUGGUACUCUCUCUGCUCCUCUGCACCUGCAGAAAUGGAUGGAUGCUCCAAGUCUGUUCUGUUUCUCUUGGAAGAACUGUGCUAGACAGCUCAGCAGUCUGCAGGUGCCAGCCAGAGCAUGUCUUGCCAAGCAAAGGAGACUGCUUUGUGCCUCUGAAGGAAGGCUCAGGGGCAGGUUUUGCACUGGAGAACUUAUCUACAACAUAGAGUUCUUCCUACGUAAGACAGACAAAUCAUAAGCCAUGCAUCAAAUACUGGUUCAGGGGAGCUCAACGAGUCCUCUCAGAUGAAUACAAAAUUCACCUAAAAAUGGAUUUCCAGAAGAACUGACAAGUUGGUUGGUGUGACACAUGGACUUUUUGCAGGUGGGUAAGGGGCAAGAAAGGACAACGAGAAAGGACACGGCCAAUUCUUAUGUCAGUGUUCUCAAACUGCAACCUUUCUGUUUUGUUUCUUUGCCUCCUAAAUGGCAUUUUUACCUCAUUAAAAUUAAAGUAGAUUUUAAUAUUAAAACAGCUGUUAAAUAAUGUGAAAACAGAAUAAGUUCACCCAGAUUAAAAAUGUAUAUAUGUAUCCUUUUUUUUUUUUUUUUUCUUUGCUCCAUUUCUCCAGAUUCUUCCAGGUCAACUCUAACAAAAUCUUUCCCCUACCUCUGGUCUGUCCAUUACUAGGCCAUGAUUUAUUUAGCUCUAAGCCUAUGCUUAAAGGUGCGUCUGAAGCUUUUUCCAACUGCUGAUAUCACAGCGCUGACACUAUGCUGUGACUCUCCUCUGUGACCCUCGUGCUUUCAAAUGUCCCCUGCCUCAGACUUCUAAAGAAUAAAGAAAUAGCUGUGGUUAGUUUGCUAGGUCAAAAGCAGCCCAGCUGAAAACAGACACUUACGUUCCCCCCUAGCUAUGCCUGCAUCUGAAAUCAGGGGAUUUUCUUUUCAAGUUUCGUCAGCUUUCCAACUCUUUCAAGAAAGAGAUCGAAAGGGGAAAGAAAGGAGAGAGGACUGUAAACCUUAAUGUGCAUACAGCUGUGACAGGGAGCAAAUGCAGGGAAAAUUCGCACUGCAGUUGGCGUGUCCUCCUGCAGCCCAGGCUGAAGCAACCCCUGUGGCUGCUGUGCUGUUGGCGGGUGUUCAGUGCAUCGCAGCUGAAGAUGCUCAUGUGAACCCAUGGGAAUCUGUUCUGCCAAGUUCCUCGUAGCUCUGCUCGGUUCGGUCUCAUUUUUAUUUAAUGCUCUUCUCUCCCCUACUGUGGUUUGGUGCGGCUCAUUUCUGCAGCUUCCAUGAAGAUGCAAGGGUGAGAAGUAUUGCGGAGUUAAGAGAAGAGAAAGUCUCUCCAUCUCUCUGUCGUCCUGCUCAGACCCGAGAUUUAGACAAGGAAGAAUGGAAGAUUCGCUCAAAGGCGGCCUGAGAGUCUGCUGAGAAAGGAUGAGCCACAGCAGAGGAGGAGGAGAUUCAAGAAGGAAACAACAACCCAAGAGCAAGGAGGUUGUGAAUCAGCCAAACCUCUGGGAGACAUCAUGCACAGAGGAGGAGACACCAAGACUCCAUGCUCAGGAAAACUGAUAUACUUCUGUUAGUAGUCUUGGGUCUCAUUUGCAUUACCAUGCAUUACCAGUACUUAGAGAUAUGUUUAACUUUAAGGACAUGGGUGAUUGUGGUCUGAAAGCAGCAAUGUGGUUUUAUCUGCUUAUGUGCUCUAUAUUCUCAAAGGGAAACUGUUCCCACUUUUCAGAAACAAAACCUAAGGAUGUGACUGGGAAAAUGAGCCUGGGACAAAAAAAUCAGACCAACAGUCUGAAAAGAUAUAAAAUAGAAUAAAAUAUGUCACAGCCUAUUGUAAAAAAAAUCAUUUCUAACUAAGAAAAAGUGACUUGCAGGACUAAUUUGAGAAUAUAUUUGUAAUAAGCCAGCUAAGAUGAGCCAAGCUUUUUAAAUCAGUCCAUCCCUGCCUCCUUUGGCUGGUAGCAAGGAGAAAGAAACUUGGUGUGCAGCUGGAAGACUGAUGCCAAGCUAAUCGAAUGUGCGUGCAGAGGGAGCAGCAGAUGACAAGGACAGGAUUGGCAGGAUGUCGCCAGAUUGUUUGAUUAGCAAUGGGAUGGCUCAAGUGCUCCCUGUCCUACCAGGAACUUGGCACAGAUGCUGACACGUGACUCAGUCCCCAAGCAGUUGUUCUCUGCAGCACUGUUUGAAAAAGGGCUCUGCUUCUCCAAAAACAGGAAGGGUAUUAACAAAAACAAAAACAAGGAUGAGAAAGAAAGGCUAUGAGACUGUGUCUAUAAAUGUUAGAUUCUGGCUAUUCUUUCUGUUAAUACCACCCAAACUUCAGCUGAAAUGAAAUAUUUGACUUGGGAUAAAAAUCAGAUAGUCUGAAAUUUAACCCAGCAAAAGUAAUAUGAGGGAGCAUUGAUGAGUGGGUAUUUUCUUUCCCCUACAGUUUCGCCAUCCAUGUUAUUGCUUUCUUUCUGUGUGUCAGUUUAGACCAACCUGCCACAAAAAAAUAUAUUAUUUUUUUUCCUAGGAGACAAAUAUGGUGAGAAAGGCAGCAACACUAUCUUCUAACACCAAAGUUGCAAAUCUAUUCUGGUGAAGCUAAGUGAAAAAUGAAGCAAACUGAUUUCAGAGACAUAUACGUAGGCCUAUGGAGAAAGCCCCAAGCAUAAAAACUAGCUCUCAGCACGAAACAUGGGUAGCAAUUGCCUUUGAUUACUAACAGCAGGUUUUUCAGUCUAUGGACAAACGUGUAGAUUAUGAGCAAUUUUCUGAGGCAUCUAAAUCAGCAUAUUCAGAUAGAAACAAAUUUUUGAUGCUAUGGCAUCACAGCUACAGUCCAAAUUACAUUGCGCAGAUGUACAUGUAAAUAUCUUACUUGCACUAAAGGCAGCUCAGAAAAAUCAGGGAAUCUGACAUCUCCCCUGAGAUUUUUAAGAUAGUUCAAAUGAUAAAAUAAGUAAGUUCCUCAGAAACAAGAUGGGUGUUGGUGACAGUUUGUACAUUCAGCACAACAAAUAAUCAGCUGCUAUGAAUUUGGAUAACCCUGUUAAAGCCAACAGAACAGAAACAGUUUUUAUCAAGUUACAGCUAGUCCAGAGCACAUACAUGAGACUUGUACAUAACAAUACUGCAGAUAUAUGGAGAAACUGUAAUGCAGACAGCAGCUUUAUAGUGGGCUUUCAUAUGCCUAUAUACUUCUAAACUGUAUGUGUAACUACAUUCUUGUCAGUUCUUCAGCCUUUUCAGAUGGAUAUGUUACUUCUCUCUAACGUGUCAGUUUUCUGACUAACCUGUCAUAACAAUCUAUGACACCACUCUCUAACAGCUUACCACUGCUUUACAUGAAAUGUGAGGGUUUGUCUGCAGUCACACAUAGGAAUCAUAUUCCAAAAUAAGAGUGUGGGGGAGACGUCUGUAAGUAUAGAUGUAAGCGCAUACGUAUGUAUACGUAGACAGACACACAGAUCCAAAAUAUCUGCCUGUGAAUCAUUGGAAUUACAAUCACAGAGAAUGAAGCAGCACAAGAUGGGAUAUUUCUCCUGAGAUGGGAUAUUUCUCCUGAGCUGCACACUGUUUCUCAGCUUUGUGGAAAACUCCUUUUAUGCUGUGACCACAAAUGAUGCACCAUCAGUGGAGUGAUACCGUGUUGCUGAGAAAUAAACUGCUUGUUUGAAUGGACUUUGCAUUCGUUAUAGAAAAGGAACAACUCCAGUUUUAGAUAGAUUCAUUUAUUUGCUUUGCGCUGUUUCCAUGACUCAUAAUCCUUUUAAUAAAUCAAACUAAAGAACAUAACAUCAAAUCAGAGAAUCAUAGAAUCUUUAGAGUUGGAAGGAAUGCUUACAGGCCAAAGAGGUGCAAGGAGGUACAGGUUCUUGAUUUGAGUCCCUCUGGAACACUUGAAAACAUAAAAAUUGUUCAAAAUAUCAUCUUUCCAAAUUAAUAUGUGUUCUUGUUCUGUAUUGUGCACACCGACAUGACAUGAUUCCUGGAAUUUCCUGCUGAUAGAACAUUUUUCCAAAGAUGAGAAGACAUCCAAAACUUUACAUUAGCAUAGUUUAAAUUCACAAGUCCAUGGCCUCAGCCUACAGACAAUGAUGCCCCAGUCUCACUUGCAGCUAUUUCCAUUAGACGAGUGUGGCUGAUGGGUCAGAAUGGAAAAACUCAUGGGAAAAAAGACAACUUAAAAUCCAAAAGAUAAUGUUGGAGGUUUUAUCUGUGCUUCUGACAAUACACAGCUGUUAACUCUACUAAUCUGGGCUUUCUCUAAGGGCUGGCAGGGAAUUCAACAUAACCAAAUCUACUCUCUCUGAGGUGCGGGAACUUUCUGGAGCUUAUAAUGAAAGUCUGGAUGCUCAUGGAAAUCAAAGCUGCAUGCUCCUGCCCACAGAAGAGACAGGCAGCAUUGCCACUGCCCUGUGGCCCCAGAAAUAGAAUGGAAAUCUUUGAGGGACCUAAGAGAGAGGACUACAGCGAACACACAAUCUGUGUUUCCUGUAAACUUCUUCAUUUUCCCUCCAUCCUACUUUCAAAUGAAAACAGUCCCUACUGUUCUGAUGUAGGGGAGAAGUCUUUCCUGAUACAUAGCUUAACCUUAAAUGCUUAAAAGAGAAGGCAAACAGGUCCCAGAAAGGCUUAUCUGCAUCACAGAGGACACUAGUACCUCCUACCCCUCUCUUUCCAGUUGAAACUUAUCUUGGAUGUUUCAGAAAAAAAAGAUGAAGAGAAAGAGAAAAACAGCCAAGCAUUGUGUAAGGAGGUGUGAAACGUGUUUCUGGCCUUUACUUUCAUUCUGUGCUACCAUCUCAAAAUCUUUUCCUUGUUUCUGGGCAUCCUGUGUGACCCUUGUAAUUACAGUGAAUGUCUCUCAGGCAACAUUAACCCCUGCCCUGAUCCAUCUCUAACAAGGAUUGCAUUAAAAACUUCACUGUGUCUGCAGCUAUUUAAUCAUUCAUCACCUGGAAAGUGGUACUGCUCUACUGCUCUGUGACUGUGGCCAUUAGUGGUGACAAGCAAGGUCUUCCUGAAAUUAAGAAUAUGACAGUAUGAGCUGGCUUAGAUUCGGCCUUUUACAGAUACAUCCAAUAAUGAAAACUCCUUCACAUCGGUACUGUCCAAAGCCCGCUGACGUCAGUGGAGAGAUCUGAUCUCAGUGGGCUUUAAAUCAGACUCUAUAGCUAAGGCUUCCAAAGCAGCUGGGGGGAUUCAGGCACGUAUCUUUCAUUAAAGUGAGGGUAUAUUAAAGCAAAUGGAAGAUAUGUGUCUGAAAUCCCCUAGACUGCUUUGAAAAUCUAAAAUACUGUGCAAGCUGUACAGCUUUCUCUAUAAAAAUAGCUGCCAAAUCUAGCUUUGGUAAAGGCAAUAGAACUGCAUUAAAAGAUCCGCAGAAAGGCCUGGUCCCUCUGAUCCUUUAGGAAAACAGAGAGAAGGAUGGCCAGAGUGCUUUAUUUUCAGCUUUAAACCGUUCCCACGUCAAAGACAUUUGCUCGAGCAAUUUAUGGGAAUGGCAUAGUAGCCAAAAGAAAAGUAAUGCUACUCUUGUCUACGUAGAUGUCACACUUAUAUGGCUCAUCAAGCUGGGAUCAGGACUGCAACAUCUCUCGUGGACAUUAAGGAAUAUUUGAUGUGGGUUUCUCCAUGAGCCUAUGUGCAAGGCUGAUCUGGUUGCAAAUUCAUGUUGAUAAGGCUGAGCCCAAGACAGCACCACCAUCAUUCCAGCAGCUCCUCUCAGGAGAAGUCUUGGUACAGACCCUUCUCCUCCUGUCCAACUUUCAUGGGGACACAGCACUGUACCUCUCAGCCCCACGUAAGAACUCCCUCUGUUUUCCGAGAAGCAGUGAGGCAAGCCUUCUUUCCUAUAGCCCACAAUGACAAUCUACUUAUUAUUCAGACACAGCCUCGCCUAAUUACCUUGUUAUUUUGUGGCAGGCUAGAACAAGGUAGCACCAUUAAGUCAAGUGUCUUCAUUUUAGCCAUCCACUGCCUUCAUUCUUGAUUUAGAAGGCAGUGGCACAAGAGUGCUCUCAGUCACACACAUCCCAUACAGCUCAGGUUGUCGUGCCACUAGCUUACCUUGGUUGUGUAUCUGCUUAUAGACUUUUUUCUUUAUUUCUUGCAUUUUUGGACCACCAAGAACAAGUUACAUUCUGUUAGAGUGACAAAGAGUAAUUGUAUUUUACGUGUUAUUUCUUGAUGGUAGAGGUACUUCAAACCUCAGAUUGAUUCCAGAUGUCAAUUAUCAGAAAGUUUGAUGCAGUCAGCUCAGGGUGUCCAAUUCUGACCUGUCUCCUGCAAACACAAUCAAAACCUUAUUAUAAGACUCAGAGCUCAGACAAAUGAUAAGCCAAGUCCAGGGAUCUGCCCAUAGUUCAUAUUUUUAGUGCAGGAAGAAUUGACUCAAAGGGAAAAUUGAUGUACAAGAAGAUGUGAUAAAGCUGACGUCCAGAUAGCAUUUGCUCUGCUGAAAUUUUACAACCUGAGCAAGACAAUCUGUGAAAGAGGUAAUUGAGCAUUUGAAAAGCACCUGUUAAUGACGGGUAAGAUAACAACCCCGAGGAACCACCUGUCAGGGCAGGUGAUGAACUCUCCCUCUGAUCUGUUUCUUACUACAGUUUUCUCCAGUGAAACUGGUAGCACAUUCACAUGUCUUUCUAGAGAAAGUUCAUAAUAACAGAGGAUUUAAAUAAACAGAAGAUUGAUUUUAAUGGAAGGUGAAUCAUUUGUAUUUCUUUUUUCUUUUCUCGUGCAGCUGAAAUGUUUUAUCUAGCUUAGAUUAUGAGGAAUGUAAAUAAAUUUAUGUUGAAUGUUAAAUAAACAUUUGCUUUCUUUUUUCCAAUUUCCUUUUCUCUUUCUCUUUUUAAUAAAUCUUAUUUGGGAUGAGA
ensembl:lncRNA